CUCUCCAUGUGGAUGUGAUUGUUUGAUUCCCUGUGGCUCCGGAAAAAAGAAUAAAAAGUUGACUCUGAUACAAAGUGCUGCAGCUGGUGGGGUCCACCAUUCACCAGUGUGGUUGGGGUGCUGGGAGUUCAUUCUAGAUGGUGAUAUGGUUUGUGGUUGCACAUCUUUAUUAGUGUGGUGUUUUAUUUGAAGUGUGUCGGGUUUAUAUUUCUUUUGAAUACACAGUAUACCCCCAGUGCCCUAGCAGUGAGUGGCUGGUUUCCCAGCCGUAGUAUGACUGUCUGUCCUCUUGUCCUUUCUUGCCUGUGUUCUUAAAGUUGUAAUUAUUGUAAAAUAAAUGGCAUG